rnacentral:rRNA from 1 species
UGUAAACCACUGUCGUAGAGGAGGAAGUUGAUUGGGGUUCUCCCCAGUCAUUGACCUAUUCUAGGAGGAAGGACGGGCUAAGUUCGUGCCAGCAGCCGCGGUAAUACGAACCGUCCAAACGUUAUUCGGAAUUACUGGGCUUAAAGGGUACGUAGGCGGCGCUGUCAGUCGGGUGUGAAAUCCCACGGCUCAACCGUGGAAUUGCGCCCGAUACUGCAGUGCUUGAGGGAGACAGAGGUAAGCGGAACUGAUGGUGGAGCGGUGAAAUGCGUUGAUAUCAUCAGAAACACCAGUGGCGAAAGCGGCUUACUGGGUCUCUUCUGACGCUGAGGUACGAAAGCCAGGGGAGCGAAGGGGAUUAGAUACCCCCGUAGUCCUGGCCGUAAACUCUGUGCACUUGAUCGAGGGCCCCCCCAUAGGCUCUCGGUCGUAGCGAAAGUGUUAAGUGCACCGCCUGGGGAGUAUGGUCGCAAGGCUGAAACUCAAAGAAAUUGACGGGGGCUCACACAAGCGGUGGAG